ensembl:lncRNA
AUUGAAAUCAUUCUCAUGGCUGGAACAGGAAGCUAUCGCAAGGUUGUGAAGGAGUUUAACAGGAAACAUAGUGUGCUUUACUGGAAAUCUGGAAACACAACAACAAAUCAAACACUGCGAUUCAUCUAAAGCGCCACAGCAAAACCAAGAACACAUCAGCAAAAGUAAUAACAGAAAAUCAAAAGCCAGCAAAUCAGAUAACACAGCAGCAAGUAAGACAAAACAACAGCAAAUCAAAAUCGCAGAAAAACAAAGAAACAGCGAUUAGGAGAGGCUGCUACCACAUCUGGCAGCUCUGCCAGGUGCUCGUGCCCACACGACGCUCUGGAAUGGAGGAAACCUUGCC